rnacentral:rRNA from 1 species
UGGGGAAUAUUGCACAAUGGGCGAAAGCCUGAUGCAGCGACGCCGCGUGAGUGAAGAAGUAUUUCGGUAUGUUAAGCUCUAUCAGCAGGGAAGAAAACGACGGUACCUGACUAAGAAGCCCCGGCUAACUACGUGCUAGCAGCCGCGGUAAUACGUAAGGGGCAAGCGUUAUCCGGAUUUACUGGGUGUAAAGGGAGCGUAGACUGCGAAGCAAGUCUGAAGUGAAAACCCAGGACUCAACCCUGGGACUGAUUUGGAAACUGUUUUGCAAGAAUGUCAGAAUGGUAAGUGGAAUUCCUAGUGUAGCGGUGUAUUGCGUAGAUAUUAGGAGAACCACCAGUGGCGAAGGCGGCUUACUGAACGAUAACUGACGUUGAGGCUCGAAAGCGUGGGGAGGAAACAGG